AAAUAGAGUGCCUGAAUAAAGGGUUAUUUUGAUAGAAUAAAUUAUGUAAGCUUUACCUCUAUU
rnacentral:tRNA from 1 species